rnacentral:rRNA from 1 species
AGCCCACUAGCUAGCCCAACCACCAAUAAAAACAACCAACCAAUAUACACAAACCCAAAAGCACUAAACCUUGUAUUAAACAAACCAUUUUUCCCCCUUAGUAUGGGCGACAGAAAAGGAACUACGGAGCUAUAGAGAAAGUACCGUAAGGGAACACUGAAAGAGAGAUGACACAGACCAGUAAAGCCUAAAUAAGCAGAGAUCUAAACUCGUACCUUUUGCAUCAUGAUUUAGCCAGUAACACAUAAGCAAAAAGACAUUUAGUUUAAAACCCCGAAACUACGUGAGCUACUCCAAGACAACCUAUUAAUAGGGUAAACCCGUCCCUGUGGCAAAAGGGUGGGAAGAGCUUUGAGUAGAGGUGACAGACCUACCGAACCUAGUUAUAGCUGGUUGCCUGGGAACUGGAUAGAAGUUCAGCCUCCCGGUUUUUUUACUCACCUUUGUCCAACCCCAUAUGACACCUAAAGAAACCAUGAGAGUUAUUCAAAGGGGGUACAGCCCCUUUGAAAUAAGAUACAACUUUACCAGGAGGAUAAAGAUCAUACCAACCAAGGUAACAUGUUCUAGUGGGCUUAAAAGCAGCCACCCAAAUAGAAAGCGUUAAAGCUCAGACAUGCCACUCACCCUAUUAUACCGAUAAUUAUAUCUUAAUCCCCUAACCUUACUAGGCCUUCCCAUGUCUUCAUGGGAGUGACCAUGCUAAUAUGAGUAAUAAGAGAGCCAAAGACUCUCUCCCCGCACACGUGUAAAUCGAAAUGGACUUACCACCGAACUUUAACGGCCCCAAACAAAGAGGGUAAUGAACAACAUACCAAAUGACUAGAAGAUCACUCAACAAAACUACCGUUAACCCCACACUGGUGUGCCCUUNAAGGAAAGACUAAAAGGAAGAGAAGGAACUCGGCAAACAAACUUUUAAGCCUCGCCUGUUUACCAAAAACAUCGCCUCUUGCAAGACUAAAAAAUAAGAGGUCCCGCCUGCCCUGUGACAAUACGUUUAACGGCCGCGGUAUUUUGACCGUGCGAAGGUAGCGCAAUCACUUGUCUUUUAAAUGGAGACCUGUAUGAAUGGCAUAACGAGGGCUUAGCUGUCUCCUCUUCCAAGUCAAUGAAAUUGAUCCCCCCGUGCAGAAGCGGGGAUGAAACCAUAAGACGAGAAGACCCUAUGGAGCUUUAGAUACUUAAAAGCAGGCCGUGUCCAAAAACCCUUAAAUAAAGAACCAAACAGCUAAGCCUACCCAAUAUCUUUGGUUGGGGCGACCAUGAGGAAAUAAAUAACCCUCACGUGGAUUGGGAAGUACCUCCCUACAACCAAGAGCCCCCGCUCUAAUGAACAGAAUUUCUGACCAUCCCGAUCCGGCAAUGCCGAUUGACGAACCGAGUUACCCUAGGGAUAACAGCGCAAUCCCCUUUUAGAGCUCAUAUCGACAAGGGGGUUUACGACCUCGAUGUUGGAUCAGGACAUCCUAAUGGUGCAGCCGCUAUUAAGGGUUCGUUUGUUCAACGAUUAAAGUCCUACGUGAUCUGAGUUCAGACCGGAGC